rnacentral:tRNA from 1 species
GGACCCGUAGCUCAGUGGUAGAGCAUGCGACUUAUAAUCGCAGGGUCGAUGGUUCGAUCCCAUCCGGGUCCA